rnacentral:misc_RNA from 1 species
CCGAGCUCAUGCCCUUCGGGGUAGACCUCCAUCCGUGCCUAUCCAACAGUGUUGCUUUGGAGGUUGCCCCCAACCGCCGGAGGCCCAAACCCUGAUAGUCAGUGUCGUCCGAGUACUAUACAAUAGUUA